rnacentral:misc_RNA from 1 species
CACCGCGGUAAUUCCAGCUCCAAUAGCGUAUAUUAAAGUUGUUGCAGUUAAAAAGCUCGUAGUUGAAUUUCGGGAUUGACACAUCGGUCGUGCCUUAAGGGGUAUGAACUGGUGUAGUCAAUUUCUCACCUUCUGGAGAACCGCAAUGCCCUUAAUUGGGUGUCGCGGGGAACCAGGACCUUUACUUUGAAAAAAUUAGAGUGUUUAAAGCAGGCAUUUUGCUUGAAUACAUUAGCAUGGAAUAAUAAAAUAGGACGGAUGAUUCUAUUUUGUUGGUUUCUAGGACCACCGUAAUGAUUAAUAGGGAUAGUUGGGGGCAUUAGUAUUCAAUUGUCAGAGGUGAAAUUCUUGGAUUUAUUGAAGACUAACUACUGCGAAAGCAUUUGCCAAGGAUGUUUUCAUUAAUCAAGAACGAAAGUUAGGGGAUCGAAGACGAUCAGAUACCGUCGUAGUCUUAACCAUAAACUAUGCCGACUAGGAAUCAGACGAUGUUAAUUUUUUAAUGACUCGUUUGGCACCUUAUG